UACAGAGGGUGCAAGCGUUAAUCGGAGUUACUGGGCGUAAAGCGCGUGUAGGCGGCAGGGCAAGUCGGAUGUGAAAUCCCGUGGCUCAACCACGGAAGUGCACCCGAAACUGCCCAGCUAGAGUCUCGGAGAGGAAGGUGGAAUGCUUGGUGUAGAGGUGAAAUUCGUAGAUAUCAAGCGGAACACCGGUGGCGAAGGCGGCCUUCUGGACGAUGACUGACGCUGAGACGCGAAAGCGUGGGGAGCAAACAGG
rnacentral:rRNA from 1 species